GACGAACGCUGGCGGCGUGCCUAAUACAUGCAAGUAGAACGCUGAAGGAGGAGCUUGCUUCUCUGGAUGAGUUGCGAACGGGUGAGUAACGCGUAGGUAACCUGCCUGGUAGCGGGGGAUAACUAUUGGAAACGAUAGCUAAUACCGCAUAAGAUUGACUAUUGCAUGAUAGUCAGUUAAAAGGUGCAAUUGCAUCACUACCAGAUGGACCUGCGUUGUAUUAGCUAGUUGGUGGGGUAACGGCUCACCAAGGCGACGAUACAUAGCCGACCUGAGAGGGUGAUCGGCCACACUGGGACUGAGACACGGCCCAGACUCCUACGGGAGGCAGCAGUAGGGAAUCUUCGGCAAUAGACGGAAGUCUGACCGAGCAACGCCGCGUGAGUGAAGAAGGUUUUCGGAUCGUAAAGCUCUGUUGUAAGAGAAGAACGAGUGUGAGAGUGGAAAGUUCACACUGUGACGGUAUCUUACCAGAAAGGGACGGCUAACUACGUG
rnacentral:rRNA from 1 species